AUUGAACGCUGGCGGCAUGCCUUACACAUGCAAGUCGAACGGCAGCACGGGGGCAACCCUGGUGGCGAGUGGCGAACGGGUGAGUAACAUAUCGGAACGUGCCCUGGAGUGGGGGAGUAACUAGUCGAAAGACUAGCUAAUACCGCAUACGAUCUACGGAUGAAAGUGGGGGAUCGCAAGACCUCAUGCUCGUGGAGCGGCCGAUAUCUGAUUAGCUAGUUGGUGGGGUAAAGGCCUACCAAGGCAUCGAUCAGUAGCUGGUCUGAGAGGACGACCAGCCACACUGGGACUGAGACACGGCCCAGACUCCUACGGGAGGCAGCAGUGGGGAAUUUUGGACAAUGGGCGCAAGCCUGAUCCAGCAAUGCCGCGUGAGUGAAGAAGGCCUUCGGUUGUAAGU
rnacentral:rRNA from 1 species